GACGAACGCUGGCGGCGUGCCUAAUACAUGCAAGUAGAACGCUGAAGGAGGAGCUUGCUCUUCUGGAUGAGUUGCGAACGGGUGAGUAACGCGUAGGUAACCUGCCUGGUAGCGGGGGAUAACUAUUGGAAACGAUAGCUAAUACCGCAUAAGAGUAGAUGUUGCAUGACAUUUGCUUAAAAGGUGCAAUUGCAUCACUACCAGAUGGACCUGCGUUGUAUUAGCUAGUUGGUGGGGUAACGGCUCACCAAGGCGACGAUACAUAGCCGACCUGAGAGGGUGAUCGGCCACACUGGGACUGAGACACGGCCCAGACUCCUACGGGAGGCAGCAGUAGGGAAUCUUCGGCAAUGGACGGAAGUCUGACCGAGCAACGCCGCGUGAGUGAAGAAGGUUUUCGGAUCGUAAAGCUCUGUUGUAAGAGAAGAACGAGUGUGAGAGUGGAAAGUUCACACUGUGACGGUAUCUUACCAGAAAGGGACGGCUAACUACGUGCCAGCAGCCGCGGUAAUACGUAGGCCCCGAGCGUUGUCCGGAUUUAUUGGGCGUAAAGCGAGCGCAGGCGGUUAGAUAAGUCUGAAGUUAAAGGCUGUGGCUUAACCAUAGUACGCUUUGGAAACUGUUUAACUUGAGUGCAAGAGGGGAGAGUGGAAUUCCAUGUGUAGCGGUGAAAUGCGUAGAUAUAUGGAGGAACACCGGUGGCGAAAGCGGCUCUCUGGCUUGUAACUGACGCUGAGGCUCGAAAGCGUGGGGAGCAAACAGG
rnacentral:rRNA from 1 species